AUUGAACGCUGGCGGCAGGCCUAACACAUGCAAGUCGAACGAGUGGGGACGGGUGAGUAACACGUGGGUAACCUCCCAUCAGAGGGGAUAACACUUGGAAACAGGUGCUAAACCGAUAUUGAUGGAUGGACCCGCGGUGCAUUGGCUAGUUGGUGGGGUAACGGCCCACCCAGGCCACGAUGCAUAGCCGACCUGGGAGGGUGAGGUGCCACACUGGGACUGAGACACGGCCCAGACUCCGACGGGAGUCAGCAGUGGGGAAUCGUCGGCAAUGGACGAAAGUCUGACCGAGCAACGCCGCGUGAGGGAAGAAGGUUUUCGGAUCGUAAAACUCUGUUGUUAGAGAAGCGGUAUCUAACCAGAAAGCCACGGCUAACUACGUGCCAGCAGCCGCGGUAAGAC
rnacentral:rRNA from 1 species